CAUCGCAAGGCCGCCGUUUUAUGUGACCAAACCAUCUAAGGCGACUUUCUCUAAUCUUAUCUUCUACUGGAGCUACUCCAACCUUUACACUCAUCCACUCAUGCACCCUUAUAUAUAUUUUUAUUUUUUUUUAUAAAUUUGUCAUUUGCCCCCACUGAGAAUUAAAACUGAUUCAGCCCCUGCUUGCAUCCAUCAUUAUAAACACAAUGAUAGGCCUCAUUGAUUAUAAAGCGGCUAUUCUCAUCUGGAAGAUUGAUAAGUUGGAUUUCAUUGCCUGCAUGGGAGCAUUUUUUGGUGUAGUUUUUGUUAGUGUUGAGAUUGGACUUCUAAUUGCAGUAAGAACUAGUUGUUCUUCUCUUCAUGACAGCUGCUGCUUGGCAGAAGCCAAUAUCUAAGUUUGUCAAUUUGUUGAUGCAGGUCUCAAUAUUAUUUGCUAAAAUUCUUCUUCAAGCACUAGACCAAGAAUUGUUCUACUUGGCAAUCUUUCAAGGACUACUAUUUAUAGGAAUAUCCAACAAUAUCCUGAGGCUGCAAGAGUUCCUGGAUUUGUAAUUGUUAGAGUUGAUUGUGCUAUCCAUUUCUCCAACUCCAACUAUGUCAGGGAGAGGAUCCUUAGGUGGUUUUGUGGUUAAGGGAUGAGGAAGAACAGCUGCAAGAGAAAAACAUACCACAAACCGAGUUCUUGAUAGUUGAAAUGUCCCGUAAGUGAAAAACUCAUUCACUCAUCACUGACAUCGACACCAGUGGCAUCCAUGCCUUUGAGGAUCUAUACAAGAGCCUCAAAAAGAGAGAUAUAGAGCUCCUCAUUGCAAAUCCCGGGCCAGUAGUACUGGAGAAGUUCGAAGCUUCCAAGUUUACAGAGUUAAUAGGCAGUGGAAAUAUCUUCUUGACGGUCGGUGAAGCUGUACUGAACUUCUCCAAAAAAGCUAGUGAAGAGGCUUGAAGAAGAGUAAGAGUUUAUGAUAGAGGAAUGUUUCAGGUAUCAGUGUUGUGAGCUUGUAAUUUAAAGAGGCAGGGUGCGCUGUCCUCAUUAUCCUUUUUUUUAGCGAAUUUUCCGAUUACAUUUAUACAGUAUCCUUAAAUAAAUAUAGAUGUAGUAUGAAUAAUGGUAUUAUAUGGUGGGCAACUUAUCAUUAUUUUGAAAUAUAUAACAUGUUUGUGGAGGUUAUGUUAUUAAAGCCAUGUCAAUGCUGCAGAUGUAUGUAUGGCAUUCCAUUUUUUUGACAUCAUCAUCAUACAUAUAUCUUUAGAUCAACAUUAUUUUUUAGUAUUUUCAAGUAUCAAGAUUUUUAUAUUUUGUUGUUGUAAGGAAACAGAUUAAGGCUCUUUCUCAAUAAAUUACAAAAAUCUUAUUAUUUUUGGGUGUGCCAAAGGCUUCGUUUGAAACAACUUUCUUACUACUUUCAAAAACAAUUUUUUAGUACAAAAAUUUCGUGAACUAAAAAUUUUGUACUAAGAAGCUGAUUUAGAAAGUUGUCCCAACAAAACCUAAAUGAAUGAACUUAAAUAUUCGGCAGUAAAAAAUAUAUUAAUUUUAUUGUUAAAAUUUAUAAAUGCGUAUCAUUCAUGUUUUUAGUUAGGAUGUUGUUUUUUUUUUUAUAUAUUUAAAAAUAAAGAUAAGCAUUAAUAAGUUACACAUAAUGUCUUGAAUAAAAUAGAGAUACUUACAUGCAUAUGUAUGUAUAAUUUUAUCCUUCUAAAAAAUAGAGAUAGUUAUAACUAUCCUUCAAAAUAGAGUGAGUUAUAUACAUACUCGCAAUGCUCCGCACGAGACGGAGGCUCCUUCCUGCUUUUGUUUUAUCAACUCACAACAGGUGACGAGCGCAAGAUGAAGAUCAUGGAGACAUGUCGUCAACAUGUGGAGCACUGCGAAGGACAUCCGAACUGUGCAAUUUGCUCAAUUUCGUAGGACUUCGACGUACAGAGAACAUGUGGAUGGCGUCAAUCUACAGGUACGAGCGAUUUUUUUUUUUCAUUUUGUAUUAUAUAUACAGGUCAAUAGAUGUCAACACUCAUUGGAGUGACAAAAAACACAACUACAUUUUUAACACAAUUUAAGUCUAUCAUCAAGGGGCAAUCAACAACAACAUAUUUGUCAAAUAUUCGACAUAAGAUUAAACUCAAUAAUUAUCCUAAUAUGAUCUAUUAGUUAACAAAGAUAAACUUUUAGUGGUUGUUUCAUUGUUAAAUUGAAUUAAUUAACUCAUCUGAUUUAGAGUUUUCUUAAACAGAAUAUUAUUUUCAACUACUUACAGUAACACACAUUUUCAAAACUGAUCUUUUUAAAUUCUCACAAGAAGUGAUGAUGAUCCACCACCUCUUCCUAUAUCAAGCUCCCCAUGCAUACAACAUUUUUUUUUUUUUUUAUAACCCAUGCAUACAACAUGUGUGCGUGAGAAGUAUUUCUACUUAAUUUUGGCCAUAUUUGGUGAUUAUUACCAGGCAUUCCAGUUAUAGAUACUCUAAAAUGUUGGGGAAAAUAAUUGAAGGUAAGAUUUCUAUGAAAUGUCAAAUGAACCUUCCUUUUCCGCUUCUUUAUUCCCACUAAGACUGCAGCGUCUUUAGGCCAAAUUAUGUAUUCAAGAUCUCUAUGAUGAAAGGCACCUAAUUAAUCAAAUCGGGUUAAAUGCUGGGCUUGGCCCUUCCCUUUUUAUUCUCUCUUAAUGUCUUCACUAAUCUACUAGAUCAUAAACCCCCUUUCAUUACCCCAACUUCACCCUUCCCU